AUUGAACGCUGGCGGCAUGCUUUACACAUGCAAGUCGAACGGUAACAGGCCGCAAGGUGCUGACGAGUGGCGAACGGGUGAGUAAUGCAUCGGAACGUGCCCAGUCGUGGGGGAUAACGCAGCGAAAGCUGCGCUAAUACCGCAUACGAUCUAUGGAUGAAAGCGGGGGACCGUAAGGCCUCGCGCGAUUGGAGCGGCCGAUGUCAGAUUAGGUAGUUGGUGGGGUAAAGGCUCACCAAGCCAACGAUCUGUAGCUGGUCUGAGAGGACGACCAGCCACACUGGGACUGAGACACGGCCCAGACUCCUACGGGAGGCAGCAGUGGGGAAUUUUGGACAAUGGGCGCAAGCCUGAUCCAGCAAUGCCGCGUGCAGGAAGAAGGCCUUCGGGUUGUAAACUGCUUUUGUACGGAACGAAACGGUCCUGGUUAAUACCCGGGGCUAAUGACGGUACCUGGAGAAAAAGCCCCGGCUAACUUCGUGCCAGCCGCCGCGGUAACAC
rnacentral:rRNA from 1 species